rnacentral:misc_RNA from 1 species
UGUAAGAGCGAGCUUGCUCGCGAUAGGCCGCAGGCCGGUUUUGGCCCCGAUGCCGCUAUCGCGAGCAAGCUCGCUCCUACA